UACGAAGGGGGCUAGCGUUGCUCGGAAUCACUGGGCGUAAAGGGUGCGUAGGCGGGUCUUUAAGUCAGAGGUGAAAUCCUGGAGCUCAACUCCAGAACUGCCUUUGAUACUGAGGAUCUUGAGUACGGGAGAGGUGAGUGGAACUGCGAGUGUAGAGGUGAAAUUCGUAGAUAUUAGGAAGAACACCAGUGGCGAAGGCGGCUCACUGGCCCGGUACUGACACUGAGGAGCGAAAGCGUGGGGAGCAAACAGG
rnacentral:rRNA from 1 species